GACGAACGCUGGCGGCGUGCCUAACACAUGCAAGUCGAGCGGAGUCGAUUGACGGAAGCCUUCGGGCGGAAGAUGGUUGACUUAGCGGCGGAUGGGUGAGUAACGCGUGGGCAACCUGCCUCGAAGACCGGGAUAACAGCCCGAAAGGGCUGCUAAUACCGGAUGUGGUCAAGGAUCCGCAUGGAUUUUGAUUAAAGGGGAAACCCGUUUCGAGAUGGGCCCGCGUCCUAUCAGCUAGUUGGUGAGGUAAAAGCUCACCAAGGCGACGACGGGUAGCCGGCCUGAGAGGGUGACCGGCCACACUGGAACUGAGACACGGUCCAGACUCCUACGGGGGGCAGCAGUGGGGAAUAGUCUACAAUGGCCGGAAGGCUGAUAGUGCGACGCCGCGUGAACGAGGGAGCCCUUCGGGGUGUAAAGUUCUUUUCUAUACGAGCAGUGCUAUAUAUAUGGAUAGUAUAUAUAGAGGGAUAGUAGUAUAGGAAUAAGCAACGGCUAACUCCGUG
rnacentral:rRNA from 1 species